rnacentral:rRNA from 1 species
AGAGUUUGAUCCUGGCUCAGAACGAACGUUAGCGGCGCGCCUAACACAUGCAAGUCGCACGAGAAAGGGCUUCGGCCCCGGUACAGUGGCGCACGGGUGAGUAACACGUGGGUAAUCUACUCGAGCGGGGGAUAACAUUCCGAAAGGGGUGCUAAUACCGCAUAAGACCACGGCCUCGAAAGAGGACGCGGUCAAAGCUG